AUUCUGUGGACAGUGUGUAUAUUUUGAAUGUGUGGUGUGUGUUGGGUUGCAUAUAGUGAAUGCAUGAGUGAGCAUAAAAUUGACGCGUGAGGAGCAGAGUAGUAACCUUGGUGUUGGAGUGCGCGUCGUUUGAAUUUCAUCUUUAUUUCAAUCCAGUUUGAUGGGUGUUAUCUGCUUACCUGAUGCAAACCGCAGGCAUAACAUGCACAUCAAAACUGGCAAUUCGCGCAGUUUGUCCAGGCGGUCCAUUUUGCCACCUCGUGUUGGGAGAUAUCUUGCUUCCGCUUGAAGAUUACACACCAAGAGGACCAACCCUACGACGAGCAGGAUUUUGGUAACGCAGUUUGCGGGAUGUUUUCUCGUCGGUAUGUUGUCGUGGACUGUCGGGGUGGUAUUUAUAUCGUCGAGGGUUUUAUAAUCCUAGAAAUGUGGAAAUGGCAGUGAAAAAGAUGAGCGCGCAAGAUUCGGGGAUGGUUUUCCCUCUUCCAUGGGGAUGAAAUCAGCGUGGGCGUGCGGAAUGCCGAGUGGGGAUGUUUUCUGUUUCUACUUGCAUUUGAGCCAAAAUGAAUGUCAACAAACGUGCCAAGAUUUUACGAUUGCGAUGCCGUUGAGAUGAACUCAAACAUGAUGAGGAUUAUCGACUGAUGGCGAUAUUAUUGCCAAUGAUUUGCAAUAAUAUACGCGUAGUUAUUGGUUGCAAAUGGCGCUAAACAACGAAUACUAGAGAAGACGGGAUUAGAAGGGAUACUUUUGAAUUCAUGGAACCCACGGACAUUAUUAUUGUGCAGGGCACAGUUUGCAUAAUGGAUUACGUUUUGGAUCUCUCAUUGGAAGGGCUGCGGUAUUUCCAAGGAAAGCCUGGGACAAACUUCAACUUCAAUCACCGCCAACUUGCGCUUUUUGAUCGAUUUGGUCUUUAAUUUUGGUUAUUGUAUGAACGAAUAGUUGCGGAUACUUUGCGGUUUUUAUUUGACUUUUCAAGGGGCCAGAAAUGUUUUGAAAACUCCCUUAAACUUAAUAUUUAUGUUUUGAGUAAUUUUUACUAGGUGGAAAUCACCCUGUAUUGUGUAUUAUUAUGUUCAGAUUUUGUUAAUACUUUUAAGCUAUGUUGCGGAAGCACUCCAUCACAGAAUGCAUACCCUAUCCACUCCCUAAGCCCUUUGGACGUGCCCUAGAAGUCCCUUCAAAGGUUGCUAUUCUUUGAAAUUUUCUAAAAGUUGUCGUGGAAAACACCCCGUAUAUCCUGAAAAAAUAAUGCAAUUUGGGGUUUUCAUGCGUCAACUUAUAGAUGAAGAGUGCCUCUACAAAAUGAGUACCAAAUUCAGCCUCUAAACCCAUAGGAAGUGCCCUAAAAAUCCCUUCAAAAGUUGUCAUUUCUUGAAAUGUUCUAAAAGUUGUCGUGGAAAACACCCCGUAUCUCCUGUAAAAAUAAUAUAAUUUGGGGUUUUCCCGCGUCAACUUAUAGAGGAAGAGUGCCUCUACAAAAUGAGUUCCAAAUUCACCCUCUAAACCCAUGGGAAGGGCCCUAAAAAUCCCUUCAAAUGUUGCCAUUUCUUGAAAUUUUCUAAAAGUUGUCGUGGAAAACACCCCGUAUCUCCUGUAAAAAUAAUGCAAUUUGGGGUUUUCCCGCGUCAACUUAUAGAUGAAGAGUGCCUCUACAAAAUGAGUACCAAAUUCACCCUCUAAACCCAUGGGAAGUGCCCUAAAAAUCCCUUCAAAAGUUGUCAUUUUUUGAAAAUUUCUAAAAGUUGUGGUGGAAAACACCCCGUAUCUCCUGUAAAAAUAAUGCAAUUUGGGGUUUUCCUCCGUCAACUUAUAGAUGAAGAGUGCCGCUACAAAAUGAGUACUCAAACUUCCCUCUAAACCCUUGCGAAGUGCCCUAAAAUGACCACGGAAAAUGACUGAUUUUUUACUAUAUUUUUCAGAUUUUUGUUAAAAGGCUGACUCCAUUUUGUAUUAUAAUUAUCUUUAGUCGAAUUACAAAGCCAAAUAUGUAAUUUUUAAUUGUUAUAAUAAUAUUUUUGUUAGAAAGCAAUAAAAAAAUUCUUGGAUUUUA